rnacentral:lncRNA from 1 species
UUAUAAUUCAAGGCAGUAUUGAUUUUGUAAAGAAAAAUGAAAGAUUAUGAGUGAUAAUCAUGAAGAGGAGGAUUAUCAAAGAAUUAAUCAAUAAGCGAAAGAAAGACAUGAGCAAUUAUGCAUAAGAAAUCUCCUACGGUGUCGUGUUGUAACAUGAGUAUACCGUGAAAAUAUAAAGAAAGAGGACUUUUGUUAAUGAUUCAGUUACCUCAAAUAUUGGGAGCAACGACCAAUUCCAGUGCAAAUACUGAGAGGCCAGGAUCAGUCACCCCGUUACAGUCAGUCGAGGCAUACUAAAAUG